AAGUUAGCAUUUAUCAUACAGGUGGAGCAUACCUAAUGUGAAAAUUCAAAGCUCAGAAGCACUGUAAAACCUAACACCUGUGCUCAGACAUGAUGCCAAGAGCGGAAAAGCCCACAGCCCACUUCGGGAUGGGUUGCAGUCAAAAUACAGGUGCACUAAAAAUACAUCAAGUUAUCUUCAAGCCAUGAGAAAUAUAAGCGGACCUUGUGUUCAGAAUUGGAUCCCAUCCUCAAGGUAUUAUGAAAUACUUUAAAGUCUGGGAAAAAAUUAAAACACUCCAAGCCCCAAGCAUUUCUGUCUGUUCAACCUGUAGUAAAAAUUCUUUAAACUGACACUCAUUUGCCAUUUUGGAGCUUAAAGUAUUCAAGUGAAAAAUGAUGAGAAAAUGGUUUUAGAAUAUGGUAGUUUAAAUGGGGUUCAGUUCUAGACAGAGGAUAUUAGGAAUGUAAAAGAAUUAACCGGAAGUGAGGUUUACGUUGGCUGAAAAGAGAUACAGUAUAUUAAUCACUUUUUCAAAAUUGUUACUGCUUAUUUUUUUGGAAUGGAAGCAUUACUUUCUCAAAGGAAAAUUUUAUUAAUGAGUAUGGCUAUUUUCAUUCUUCUGACGUUAGCUUUUAACACAGCUAGUAAUUAUCAAGAUACUGCAUUGUAAAACAUAACUUUAUAUAGGAUUCUUAUUGCCUUGACCAUGUUCAAUACCAUGUACUGGAUAGAAUAGGUUUUGUACUUUGAACACUGCCAUUUGCUUCAAUGUGUUGCAGAGUAACAUGCUGUAGAGCCAGCAGUGCAGAUGCCUUGUGCUGGUGACACCUUGGGUUCUGUUUUAAAUGUAAACUUGUUAAAUGUCACCGGAUAAUUAGCUGAUUACAUAGACACUACUUUUGUUUUUAUUGUUUAUAACCAAUAUAGUAGUGAUGUCCUGUUACUCUUUACUUAAUAUAGGUUCAAAGUAAAAAUCAGAAUUUCAAAUUUAUGAAGUCAGACUUCAUAAUUUAAGCCAGUAAGGGUUUAAAUUUGGGAACAUGAUUUCAUGGGUAUAACAGUGGUUGCAGGGACUGCAAUAAAAUGGCAGUACAAGCUGGGCACCUUCCAGUGAGUGGUAAUACACACAUGAGAAAUUAAUCAUGGCUUUUCUAAAUGCAUUGUCGAGCAACAUUCACUGCAGUAUUGAAGUGCUUAUUACUGUUUUCUGCAUCUCUGAUAAUUUUAAGUUAGAAUAAUUGUUAAGUCUUAAUAAAAAUGAAACUAAAUAUUGAAAUAAAUUUGAUACCUUUUUAUAAAG
rnacentral:lncRNA from 1 species